GAUCAUGGCUCAGGAUGAACGCUAGCUACAGGCUCAACACAUGCAAGUCGAGGGGCAUCAGGAAGAAAGCUUGCUUUCUUUGCUGGCGACCGGCGCACGGGUGAGUAACACGUAUCCAACCUACCCUUUACUCGGGGAUAGCCUUUCGAAAGAAAGAUUAAUACCCGGAUGGCAUAAUGAUUCCGCAUGGUUUCAUUAUUAAAGGAUUCCGGUAAAGGAUGGGGAUGCGUUCCAUUAGGUUGUUGGUGAACGGG
rnacentral:rRNA from 1 species